AGCGGCAUACAAAGCUUUGAAAUCUACAACCUAAGUUCAUUUCUGGUUUUUUCAGAACCAAACAUGUCAAGCACAUGCGGCAACUGUGACUGCGCUGACAAGAGUCAGUGUGUGUAAGUGCUUUAUUUCUUUUCUGAAUUUAUCUUGUACAGAAAAAAGCUACAUAAAUAUAGUUCAUGUUUCAAUCACUCACCACAGAAAGCUUGAAUGAUGCCUAUUAGAUCUCUUAUUUACUUAAGUUCUCAUAUGCUAUGCUAUUCACCAGGAAGGGAAACAACUAUGGUGUUGACAUCGUAGAGACUGAGAAGAGCUACAUCGAGACUGUUGUCAUGGAUGUUCCAGCUGCUGAGCAUGAUGGGAAGUGCAAGUGUGGUACUAGCUGCGCUUGUGUGAACUGCACCUGUGCCCAUUAAGGAAAAUAUGAACAUGUAUUGGCCAUGUGUUUGGCAAUAUAAAUCUCCUAAUAAUGUAACAUCUACUGAACAAUAAAUGUGUGUGCUGUUAUCCUA